UACGUAGGGUGCAAGCGUUGUCCGGAAUUGUUGGGCGUAAAGAGCUCGUAGGCGGUUCGUCGCGUCGGCUGUGAAAUCCCGAGGCUCAACCUCGGGUCUGCAGUCGAUACGGGCGGACUGGAGUACUGCAGGGGAGACUGGAAUUCCUGGUGUAGCGGUGAAAUGCGCAGAUAUCAGGAGGAACACCGGUGGCGAAGGCGGGUCUCUGGGCGGUUACUGACGCUGAGGAGCGAAAGCGUGGGGAGCGAACAGG
rnacentral:rRNA from 1 species